UAACUCGGGUUUUCCCCUUUCAAAACCAAAAUCUUCGCCUUUUACUAAAAUUUCGUGGAGGGAAACAACUCAUUGAUUCAAACUAAAAUUUUUUAAUAUACCCACAUGGAGGGUUUA